UCUACAAAAGUGACAUUGCUCCUUUUUGCCUGACCCCAACCCUUUCCAGAGGGCUCUGGUAUUGAUAGAAGCUUUGCUGCGAAAGGGUGACAUUGAUCUGGCCAGCCAGGGGGCACCACUUUUGGCACAGCUUCAAGACUUGCAGGCGAAAUCAUCUGAUCCUGUCCAAGUCAAAGCCAGGAAGAUUUCCCUGAUCAUCCAGAAGCUGAUAGAGGAGCCCGAGACAUGACUACCAAGUGUGUGGCUACCACCAUAUGUGUGUGUGACUACCAUAUGUGUGGCUAAUUAUUCCAUAGGUAUGACAAAGUGCAGCAGUGAAUCUAGACAGACACAAAAACAAACAUGACAUGACAGGUUCUGCCGUGCCAUGUCUUUUUAUUUGAUUCAGUAGUAGCUUGGUCGGUUUGCACCCAGGACAGACUCAGCACUUUGCCAAGCCUUUUUAUUAAAGUCUGUAACAGUCACUGCCACA